rnacentral:rRNA from 1 species
GGAGGUCCGAACCCACGAGCGUUGAAAAGCUCGGGGAUGACUUGUGGGUAGCGGUGAAAUUCCAAUCGAGCCCGGAGAUAGCUGGUUCUCCCCGAAAUAGCUUUAGGGCUAGCCUCAAGGUGAGAGAUACGGAGGUAGAGCACUGAAUGUCCUAGGGGGUAUUGCACCUACCGAAGACUAUCAAACUCCGAAUGCCGUCAUCUUAUACUUGGGAGUCAGACUGUGGGUGAUAAGAUUCAUAGUCGAAAGGGCAACAGCCCAGAUCGUCAGCUAAGGUCCCUAAAUGUAAGUUAAGUGGUAAAGGAUGUGGGAUUGCACAGACAACCAGGAUGUUGGCUUAGAAGCAGCCACUCAUUCAAAGAGUGCGUAAUAGCUCACUGGUCGAGUGAUCCUGCGCCGAAGAUUUCCGGGGCUAAAACUUACUACCGAAGCUACGGCAUCAGUAAUGAUGGGUAGGGGAGCUUCCCAUACGGGUUGAAGCAUGACCGUAAGGACAUGUGGACAGUAUGGGAGUGAGAAUGUUGGCAUGAGUAGCGAGAUGUGGGUGAGAAUCCCACAGGCCGUAAACCCAAGGUUUCCAGGGGAAGGUUCGUCCGCCCUGGUGUAGUCGGGACCUAAGCGGAGGCCGAAAGGCGUAGGUGAUGGACAACAGGUUGAUAUUCCUGUACUACCGAUAACCGUUUGAGAGA